CAACAACGGAUCUCUUGGUUCUGGCAUCGAUGAAGAACGCAGCGAAAUGCGAUAAGUAAUGUGAAUUGCAGAAUUCAGUGAAUCAUCGAAUCUUUGAACGCACAUUGCGCCCGCCAGUAUUCUGGCGGGCAUGCCUGUUCGAGCGUCAUUUCAACC
rnacentral:rRNA from 1 species